rnacentral:rRNA from 1 species
UCCUUAGAUGUUCUGGGCCGCACGCGCGCUACACUGAUGAACGCAACGAGACCACCUGUACCGAAAGGCAUGGGUAAACUUGUGAAAGUUCAUCGUGAUGGGGAUAGAUUAUUGCAAUUAUUAAUCUUCAACGAGGAAUUCCUAGUAAGCGCGAGUCAUCAGCUCGCGUUGAUUACGUCCCUGCCCUUUGUACACACCGCCCGUCGCUCCUACCGAUUGAAUGGUCCGGUGAAAUCUUCGGAUUGCUGGAUAGGACUUCAUUGACCUAUCUGCGAGAAGUUGCUUGAACCUUAUCAUUUAGAGGAAGGAGAAGUCGUANCA